rnacentral:lncRNA from 1 species
ACAGGUUACCGCAGCAGGAUGCCAUCUCGUUGCUAGGCAUCACUGUAGGGAUCGAGAGAUCAACCUUUACCAGAGUUGUCUUGAAAGCACCAUAAAUCCAGAGAUUGCCAGACUUUGAUGACAACAUUUGCCCACAAGAAGGACCGUCGCGCAACCUUCCUGUUCAAGUGAGCACAGCACAGCGAUGAGUCCUAAAAUGCCUUGUAUGCUGCUGCAUAAAUGAUGUAAUAUGCCAUGGAGAUAUGUAUACUGUAGCUAAGAAAGUAAUACUAAGUGUAGUAAGGUGUUAAUAGUCCAUGUGCCUCACCCUAAUACUUUGGUCCCUUUCCCCCUCAUAAUUUAGCCUAAUGUUCAGACUUGGUGGUGGAUGUACAAGAUUUACAUGCGAAAAUCGCCACUGAUCACUGCCCUCUAGUGGCCCCAACAAAUGAAUGCAUUUUCUUCUAAUUAUUUUGGUUAGGGACUCCCAGUGGCGAUUUUAGCAUGGAAAUCUUGGUGGGGUAAAGUAAACUUUUUUUCUUUUGGGAUACAUGCCAGCAAAGCCACUGCACAACACAACACUAAACAAUACAUUAAUUGCACUAUAACGGUGACAAACGGUGCACACAAACUGUUAGUGUCUACAUAAAGCUGUCCCAACAGCAGAGCUUUCUUUUAAGCAUAAUGGAGUGAAUCCUUACCACCGCUAUACCUGGCUAUCAGCAGAGACUUGUCUGGCAGCGAAACAGUUCAUUCAGCCUCAUUUACUGCCUUUUAAAAAAAACAUAGCAGAUAUGGCUAAUUUUAUUAAUUAAUUUGAUAUGCGACCUGUACGCUCUCGUUGGCUGGCCCUCGCUUCAUACUCGUCGCCAAACCCACUGGCUCCAGGUCAUCUACAAGACCCUGCCAGGUAAAGUCCCGCCUUAUCUCUGCUCGCUGGUCACCAUUGCUGCACCCACCCGUAGCACGUGUUCCAGCAGGUAUAUCUCACUUGUCACCCCCAAAGCCAAUUCCUCCUUUGGCCGCCUCUCCUUCCAGUUCUCUGCUGCCAAUGACUGGAACGAACUACAAAAAUCUCUGAAACUGGAAACACUUAUCUCCC